GACGAACCGAGCGAACGUUGUUCGGAAUCACUGGGCUUAAAGCGCGUGUAGGCGGGCCGGCACGUCGGUCGCUGAAAUCCCCCGGCUCAACCGGGGAACGGGCGCCGAUACGACCGGCCUGGAGGGGAGUAGGGGGACCUGGAACUUCCGGUGGAGCGGUGAAAUGCGUUGAGAUCGGAAGGAACGCCCGUGGCGAAAGCGAGGUCCUGGGCUCCUGCUGACGCUGAGACGCGAAAGCCAGGGGAGCGAACGGG
rnacentral:rRNA from 1 species